CACCGAUGGUUCAGAGAUGUGAUUAUUUCGAUUUAACCAUACAUAUUGAAGACUUUUUGCAUAAUCCGUAAAAAAAGAGCAAGUUAUAUAUCAUCCAUACUUUUUUUAUUGAUGAUUUCAAACGGCUUUUUAAUGCGAUGUUGUUCGGUAAUUUAUUUGAUUAGCAAGCCAGGUCCAAUAGAUUUAAUGGUAUGGAUAUAAUAAAACAGAAGCAGAGCCGAGACGGUCAAACUCAUAUAUUGGUAUACUGGUUCGAUUUUGAUAAUAUAUGAAGAUGGCGAGAGCUCCGACAGAAGAACUGCAUCAGAUAGCAUAGGGUAAUUGUUCCAAAACGAACAUUGUCUUUCUUUCCAUUCUCUUUAAAGGAUUAAUGAAGAAGAAAGCAAAUACAUAUCUAAUUCUUUUUUUUUGUCUGUUUUAGAAGUUGGAUCCAGUGAGGAAAUACUUUAAUUGCUAUAAAAUGGAAAGGCCUUGGUAAAAUACAGCCUACACCAACA
rnacentral:lncRNA from 1 species